UACGAAGGGUGCAAGCGUUAAUCGGAAUUACUGGGCGUAAAGCGCGCGUAGGUGGUUCAGCAAGUUGGAUGUGAAAUCCCCGGGCUCAACCUGGGAACUGCAUCCAAAACUACUGAGCGAGAGUACGGUAGAGGGUGGUGGAAGUUCCUGUGGAGCGGUGAAAUGCGUAGAUAGAGGAAGGAAAACCAGUGGCGAAGGCGGCCACCUGGACUGAUACUGACGCUGAGGUGCGAAAUCGUGGGGAGCCAACAGGAUUAGAUACCCCGGUAGUCC
rnacentral:rRNA from 1 species